AAUCCAUGCAUCAGACAUUUCUGAAGGAAUUCCUUAAAUCGUUCCCAAGCUUCAUAUAUUGUUUCAUACUUUAACUGCCCAAAAGAUGUGAUGUCAUAUUUGGGGGAU
rfam:Gossypium hirsutum cultivar TM-1 chromosome 25, whole genome shotgun sequence